rnacentral:rRNA from 1 species
UACGUAGGGGGCAAGCGUUAUCCGGAUUUACUGGGUGUAAAGGGAGCGUAGACGGAAUUGCAAGUCUGAUGUGAAAAUCCGGGGCCCAACCCCGGAACUGCAUUGGAAACUGUAUUUCUAGAGUGUCGGAGAGGCAAGUGGAAUUCCUGGUGUAGCGGUGAAAUGCGUAGAUAUAUGGAAGAACACCAGUGGCGAAGGCGGCCGCCUGGCCUGUUGCUGACGCUGAGGCACGAAAGCGUGGGGAGCAAAUAGG